GCCAGUGUGGCAUAGUAGUUUGUGCAUUGGACUGUGACUCUGGAGACCAGGGUUCAAAUCCUGUCUUGGCU
rnacentral:tRNA from 1 species